UACGUAGGGGGCGAGCGUUGUCCGGAUUUAUUGGGCGUAAAGAGCUCGUAGGCGGUUCGGUAAGUCAGAUGUAAAAACUCCAGGCUCAACUUGGAGAGGCCAUCUGAUACUGCCGUGACUAGAGUCCGGUAGAGGAGCACGGAAUUCCUGGUGUAGCGGUGAAAUGCGCAGAUAUCAGGAGGAACACCAGCGGCGAAGGCGGCACUCUGGGCCGGUACUGACGCUGAGGUGCGAAAGCGUGGGGAGCAAACAGG
rnacentral:rRNA from 1 species